CGCGCGUGCGCAACGGCGCGCAGCCCAGGGCCCGCAUGUGGUUGUGCGCAAAGAACUUCAACUCCACAGAGGGAAAAAGCUGUUUUUCAAUGGCGCACUCCUCCGGCGGUGCGCUGUGUGUGACGUCGCCGGCGGCGCGCUGCUUGUGACAUCAAGGUGGCGUGCUGCGUGUGACGUCACUGGCGGCGCCAAUUUUGAUCAUGGUUUUUGGUAGGCCGAAUGGGCCGACGGAGUGCUGCCUCCAUGUCUCCGUUCGACAUUCAAGAUGGAGGAUUUGCCAGCCCUAUAACAGCAUAUUUGGCUAGAUACCAGUUCUAAUUUAAUGAAACUUUCUAGUACCUGCUGAAAUACAGGUAUGGAAUUCAUCAUCCGGACACACGUUAUCCAGAAAACUCUACAGAAAGGCCAU